rnacentral:RNase_MRP_RNA from 2 species
CAAGCAAGCCAAGGACCAUAUGUUUUUUGUGUUACACUUUCAGCAUCUAAGCUUAUUAUAUUCAACACAAGGAGAAAGUCCCCGGAAAACAAAAUAUCUUCUGUCCAAUGAUUAAAGAUUAGGGCAGUGGGGUAUUUAGUAAAGCAACUUUGUUUGUUUGUUUUUUUUCAUAAUAAAAAGUAAUAUGGUCACCCUAUAAUAAUGGGGCAACUUAAUGGGGCUUACUCUGGCUUGUUU